UACCUACGGGGGGCAGCAGUGGGGAAUAUUGGACAAUGGGGGGAACCCUGAUCCAGCGACGCCGCGUGAGUGAAGAAGUAUUUCGGUAUGUAAAGCUCUAUCAGCAGGGAAGAAAGAAAUGACGGUACCUGACUAAGAAGCCCCGGCUAACUACGUGCCAGCAGCCGCGGUAAUACGUAGGGGGCAAGCGUUAUCCGGAUUUACUGGGUGUAAAGGGAGCGUAGACGGCGAUGCAAGUCUGAAGUGAAAGCCCGGGGCUCAACCCCGGGACUGCAUUUGGAACUGUGUAGCUGG
rnacentral:rRNA from 1 species